rnacentral:lncRNA from 1 species
CAAGCAUUUAUGAAUGUAUCGCAGAGAGGAAACCUUGAAGAACAUUGAAUUUAAUUGCUCCUCAGACUUUCUUAAAUGAAACUCGAACAUAAUUCAUUUUCCAACAUAUUGCCAUUACCCUUGGAACAGGGCAGGGCCCACUCUCGUAUCAACGCCUCUCGAAAGUUCACUUGUAAUGUAUUUAAAUGAGAGACAUGCCCAUAACCAGCGCCAUUCUCCCUCUCUCGGGCCAACUCACACGUCGUGACUGCAAAACUUUUGCUAUUAUUAAGGGCCUCAUUGUCGGUUUUGUUGGACCCAAGCGACUGUCCGCCGCCAGCGGCCCGGUCCCCUCAUGUGUGGCAGUAGUUGGGGCAAAACUCAGAUGCGUUGGGCCUCCUGUCCUCCUGCACAGGACCCAGGCCACACAAUAAAGAACAAUAUAUUUCACACAACUUUGUUCAUAUUUUUAAUGUCAGGAGUAUAAUAAUUACGUUCAUUGACUUUGCUAAGUAGCCUACUUUAUGCUAAUGUGAUUUCGUUGCACAAAGCUGGGCAGGAGUGCUCCAAGAAGAAGUUUGGUCUGGAAUAUUUUUACAUAAUUGAAUAAACAGAAUAUACAGGAGUGUCCAGAAGUGACU